CCUGGUUGAUCCUGCCAGUAGCAUAUGCUUGUCUUAAAGACUAAGCCAUGCAUGUCUAAGUAUAAGUAUUAUACAGCGAAACUGCGAAUGGCUCAUUAAAACAGUUAUAGUUUAUUUGGUAAUGUUUUUACAUGGAUAACCGAGGUAAAUCUAGAGCUAAUACAUGCUGCAAAACCUGACUUCGUGGAAGGGUUGUAUUUAUUAGGUAUAAACCAAUACGCUGCAAGGCGUUUUGUGAUGAUUCAUAAUAACUGAGCGAAUCGUCUGCUUGUCAGACGAUAAACCAUUCAAGUUUCUGCCCUAUCAGCUUUCGAUGGUAGUGUAUUGGACUACCAUGGCUAUCACGGGUAACGGGGAAUUAGGGUUCGAUUCCGGAGAGGGAGCCUGAGAAACGGCUACCACAUCUAAGGAAGGCAGCAGGCGCGUAAAUUACCCAAUCCUGACUCAGGGAGGUAGUGACAAGAAAUAACAAACCGGGGCACUUUGUGCUUACGGGAUUGCAAUGAGCACAAUUUAAAACACUUAGCGAGGAACAAUUGGAGGGCAAGUCUGGUGCCAGCAGCCGCGGUAAUUCCAGCUCCAAUAGCGUAUAUUAAAGUUGUUGCAGUUAAAAAGCUCGUAGUCGAAUUUCUGGGCGGUGGUAUCAUGGCUUCGGUCAUGGUACGCCUGUCCAUCCGUCAGGGAAGUUCGUUCGUCCUUUAUUGGACGGCGGAGGGAACUGACAUUUUACUUUGAAAAAAUUAGAGUGUUUCAGGCAGGCAAUCGCUGGAAUACAUUAGCAUGGAAUGAUGGAAUAGGACUUUAGUCCAUUUUAUU
rnacentral:rRNA from 1 species